UACGAAGGGGGCUAGCGUUGCUCGGAAUCACUGGGCGUAAAGGGCGCGUAGGCGGCGUUUUAAGUCGGGGGUGAAAGCCCGGGGCUCAACUCCGGAAUUGCCUUUAAGACUGCAUCGCUAGAAUUGUGGAGAGGUAAGUGGAAUUCCGAGUGUAGAGGUGAAAUUCGUAGAUAUUCGGAAGAACACCAGUGGCGAAGGCGACUUACUGGACACAUAUUGACGCUGAGGUGCGAAAGCGUGGGGAGCAAACAGG
rnacentral:rRNA from 1 species